rnacentral:rRNA from 1 species
UCAGUUCAGAUCGUAGGCUGCAACUCGCCUACGUGAAGGAGGAAUCGCUAGUAAUCGCAGGUCAGCAUACUGCGGUGAAUACGUUCCCGGGCCUUGUACACACCGCCCGUCACACCAUGGAAGUUGGCCACGCCCGAAGCCGUUACUCCAACCCUUGUGGAGGAGGACGUCGAAGGUGGGGCUGAUGACUGGGGUGAAGUCGUAACAAGGUAGCCGUACCGGAAGGUGCGGCUGGAUCACCUCCUAA